AACCAUAUCACGCUGAAACACCGGUUCUCGUCCGAUCACCGAAGUUAAGCAACAUCGAGCUUGGCCAGAACCUAAAUGAGUGACCGCUUGGGAAUAUCAAGGGA